CUCCACUUGGACCCUCCUUGGUGUCCCCAGCCUCCUCCAGGUGCCAUCUUGGUGGCCCCAAACCUUCUCCAGAUCCUCCAGCUCCCACCUUGGUGCCCUCAGUUUCCUCCAGGUCCAUCAAGAGCCACCUUGGUGUCCCCAAAUCUUCUCCAGGUUCCAUCUUGGUGCCCCCAGCUCCACCAGGACCCAUCUUGGUGGCCCCCAUCUCCACCAUGUCUCACUUUGGUGUCCUCAACCUUCUCCAGGUCCCAUCUUGGUGGCCCCCAUCUCUUCCAGGUUCCACCUUGGUGGCCCCCAUCUCCUGCAGAUCUUCCAGGACCCAUCUUGGUGCCCUCAGGUCCACCAAGAGCCUCACUGGUGUCCCCAAAUUUCCACCUGGACCCACCUGAGCACCCACCGCCUCCUUCAGGUCCUCCAGGACCCACCUUGGUGUACCCCAACCUCCUCCAGAUCCCACCUUGGUGGCCCCAACCUCCUCCAGAUCCUUCAGGACCAAUCUUGGUGCCCUCAGGUCCACCAAGAACCACCUUGGUGCCCCCAAAUCUCCUCCAGGUGCCACCUUGGUGGCUCCAACCU